rnacentral:rRNA from 1 species
UCCUACGGGAGGCAGCAGUGGGGAAUCUUGCACAAUGGAGGAAACUCUGAUGCAGCGAUGCCGCGUGAGUGAAGAAGGCCCUUGGGUUGUAAAGCUCUUUCGUCGGGGAAGAAAAUGACUGUACCCGAAUAAGAAGGUCCGGCUAACUUCGUGCCAGCAGCCGCGGUAAUACGAAGGGACCUAGCGUAGUUCGGAAUUACUGGGCUUAAAGAGUUCGUAGGUGGUUAAAAAAGUUGAUGGUGAAAUCCCAAGGCUCAACCUUGGAACUGCCAUCAAAACUUUUUAGCUAGAGUAUGAUAGAGGAAAGCGGGAUUUCUAGUGUAGAGGUGAAAUUCGUAGAUAUUAGAAAGAACACCAAAAGCGAAGGCAGCUUUCUGGAUCAUUACUGACACUGAGGAACGAAAGCAUGGGUAGCGAAGAGGAUUAGAUACCCUCGUAGUCCAUGCCGUAAACGAUGUGUGCUAGACGUUGGAAACUUAGUUUUCAGUGUCGCAGCGAAAGCAUUAAGCACACCGCCUGGGGAGUACGACCGCAAGGUUAAAACUCAAAUGAAUUGACGG